rnacentral:rRNA from 1 species
AUGUGUGGACAUGAAAAUGAAACUCUGUUUCACUCACUGAUGGAGUGUGACCAUGCGGUAUGGUUCUGGGAGGUGGCAGAGCGUUUCUUUGACAUUCGAAUCCCAAGGCUACACCCGAUGACAUGGUCCAGGGAUCUGAUCGAUCAUGAGCUGUUUAAGCAAGAGGAUGCUGCUAUUAUGAUUACGGUGAUGUGGGCGGUGUGGCACUCAAGAAAUAGAUAUACACAUGGUGAACAAGUGUAUCAGCCGUCGCAAUCGAUGAUCAUCAUAGAAGAGAUAGUGUGAGCGCUGGAGUUCCCCGUUACUGGGAAGAACCAGCAUGUCUGUCCCCCUCGGUGGCUGCCACCAGAUGAGGGUUGGGUCAAGAUCAAUACGGAUGGAGCUACACACUCGGCAAAGAUGCGAGGAGGAACGGGUUUCGUAGCCCGUGCCAUGGCUUCUUUCUUAGAGCGGGAGGCUCAAGGUAUGAGGGGAUUUUUGAUCCAUUGA